UUCCAGACCCAAUUACUGUGGGGGUUGCGAUGCUGAAUGGUUCGUCGGCAACACUCGGGUGUUCACCUGUGGAGCAUUAUAACCACGGGUAAACUGAAGCUCGGAGGAAAUCAAUGUUAUCCAUUCCAACAUCUUGUUUCCCUCAAACUGGUUUGUUCCCUAGUCUGUAACAGAAAUACAAUCUGGUUAUCAUUUGACAUUCCUGAGCUAUUCCUUCAGACAGAAUAACAACCGAAAACAUUCUUUGUCACAAUCCUCGGCAUUUUGCAACAUUAUAAUCGGGGGGCGGCGCGGUCGGGUAGCCUAUUGGUUAAAGCGUUCGCUCGUCACGCCGAAGACCCGGGUUCGAUUCCCGACAUGGGUACAAUGUGUGAGGCCCAUUUCUGGUGUCCUCCGCCGUGAUGUUGCUGGAAUAUUGCUAAAAGCGGCGUAAAACCAUACUCACUCACUCAACAUUAUAAUCCAUUCUCGUGGUUUCACCAAACCUGUGCUCGUGGGUUUUACCAAAUACGUUCUCUUAGGUUUUACUAAAAAAGGUUCUCUUGGGUUUUACGAAACCCUGUGUUAGUGGGUUUCACAAAAACCUGUGCUCGCCGUCUUUAAACCCAGGAUGUAUUCGAGUGGACAAUGUGUCUGUGCAGUGACUUUCAGUGAGCUUACUGGUAAUUCUUAUAACCCAUGCAUUUCGUCAUGUAUAAGAAGUAGGUCUUUUGUUUGGUUUGUCCUAUUUACUCUGUACAAAACACGAUUUUCAAACAAUAUGUGUAAUCAAAUGUUUUUUUAAAAAAUAAUUAUAUAUCAACCAAGCAGCACGCUUGGUGUACUUGUACGUGUAAACUGUAAGUGUUCGCCUCUGUGAAUGUACAUUUUCAUUUGUUUUAUACACUCAUGUAUCUUUUAACGAAAUAAACAAGUCUAUGUUUCUUUGAA